GGGGGGCCGAGUCAGCCGUUAUGUUUCACGAAGGUAGCUAGGAAACUUGCCCCCGGGCUAAACCCUUGCCAUAUUAGAAUCCACCAAUUAUAUCCCUGUAACCAUGCAUCUGCUUCUGUAUGCUUGCUUCUGCUCCCCAAAAUCCUAUAAAAGCCCAUCCUUGGUUCUGUGGGGCGCGCCAGUCCCCCGAGUGACUGAAGCGCCCGCAGGUGCCUGUGCCUGUGUAUCCCGACAAUAAACCAAAUCCUCUUGCUGAUUGCAUCCUGUGGUGUCUCGGUCUGGUCUUUGGAGUUAGAGGGUCUCCAUCCCGAGGGAAAGUUCUCCCUGAGAGCUUUUCAUUUGGUGCAUUGGCCGGGAAAGGAGAUCCUCCACCCAGGGACCACCGACCACCCACUGGGAGGUAAGCCGGCCGGCGUCUGUCUGUCUGUCUGUCUGAUUUUGUCUCGUUCUGCCUUAUUCUGUCUGUUCUGUGAGCGCUCAGCCAGGUCUGUUCUGUGAGCGCUCAGCCAGGUUCUGUGAGCGCUCAGCCAGGUCUGUUCUGUGAGCGCUCAGCCAGGUUGUUUGGAAUUUGGGUGGGACGAAGAAGGAGCUGACGAGCUCGGACUUCUCGCCCCGCAGCCCUGGAAGACGUUCCAAGGGUGUUGGGGCCCGACUUUUCGGGGCCCAAUCUGGGAGAGGAGAAAGAUCCGGACUAACGGC
ensembl:lncRNA